rnacentral:misc_RNA from 1 species
GUUAAGAUGGAUGUCUAGUAUUAUGAUAAUGGAUAAAAUUAAGAACAAUCACAUUCAUCAGAGAGUGAAAGUAUCACACAUUGGGGAUAAAAUGAGAGAAGGUCAAUUAAGAUGAUUUGGAGGUGUGAAUGUUGGAAAGAGUGAGAAGGGAAAGGAGGAGAUUGAAAAUGAUAUGGAGGGAAGUAGUAUCAGAAGAUAUACGAUUUUUUAAUAUUGAUGUGAAAUUAGUUUCAAAAAAAGCUAAAUGGUGAAAAAGAGUCAAUAUAUCCGACCACAACUAGUUUCAAAUUAAAACUUAGUUGUUGUUGUUG